rnacentral:lncRNA from 1 species
GCAUAGGCUCUGCUCUGAAGACUGAGGUGGGUCUGCCACUCUGUAGGCUGAAACACGAGCUCUGGAGACUGUCAUUUGCACUUGUGUCUAGAAGUGCCUGUCUUCUGACUAUCGUAUUCUUCCAUGGAGCACCGGGGUGGCAGAUCUCCAGGAGAACCCAUUCUGCCUUUCAUUGAGGUUGCCUUCCAUCCUGGAGUCAAGUUCUGCCCAACAUCACAGGAUUUAGUUGCCUCCUUCACUCCUUUUUGGCUACUAGGCUACUAUUCUAUAUACUAAGUAUCGCACUCUGAGUCUUCCUGGCCAAUAUAACUGGAUUGAGAAGCACCUAAAAGAUAGAUCUUUGGGGACCAAAUCCACGCCCUCAUUCAUGAUGCUCAAACCCUCUACCUCCGAGUCACAUCGCGGCCCUGUGAAUGCUUAUUCUCACGAGUGUCCUGAAGCCUCCUGGCAGGUGAGAUGUCAAGAGAUAACGUAGCGAUCAAGGAUCAACUCCCAGGGCGUGUGCUUUUCCAGGCUCGCCUGAGUGCCCUGGUCCUGUUUCCUCAUGUGUUAACCAAUGAUGGAGAGUCCAUGGGUCUCCCCAACUCCAACUCAAGUCAACUCGAGACCUGUGGGUGCUGGUGACUGUCCAGCCCUGCUCUGUAACUUACAUAAAAGUAAUGGCUGACGUAUUCCACAACCAGAACCAUUGUAGCUGUCUUCAAAUGCUUGAAUGGAGAAGGAUCCUGGGCCUCAGUAGAACAGUGGGAUGAGAAAGCUAACUUAGUUCAUCCAUCUGUGCUUGUCUACCAUGAUACCCAACAAACAACACACCGUUUGCACCAUUUGAAACUGCCCAACACACGAGUCCUCUCUGUAUUCCCCAAACUUCAUUUAUUCCACACAGAAUCUCUGGACUCAUUAAACAGUACCAGUGCCUGGGCCAGCAAGAUGGAUGGCUUGGUGGGUAAAGGUGCCUGCUACAGAGCCUGAGGAUGCCAGCCCAACCCCUGGAACCCACACGGUGGAAGAAAACUAACUUUAACAAGCUGUCUUUUGAUGUCCACAUGUGAGUUGAGGUGUGAGCCCCCCUCCUUAGCUAAACAGACCUAUGUAAUAAAAAAGUAAUUCAAACCAACAA